UACAGAGGUCUCAAGCGUUGUUCGGAUUCAUUGGGCGUAAAGGGUGCGUAGGCGGCGCGGUAAGUCGGGGUGUGAAAUCUCGGAGCUUAACUCCGAAACUGCAUUCGAUACUGCCGUGCUUGAGGACUGGAGAGGAGACUGGAAUUUACGGUGUAGCGGUGAAAUGCGCAGAUAUCAGGAGGAACACCGGUGGCGAAGGCGGGUCUCUGGGCCGUAACUGACGCUGAGGAGCGAAGGCAUGGGGAGCGAACAGG
rnacentral:rRNA from 1 species